ensembl:Y_RNA Y_RNA Y RNA
GGCUGGUCUGAGUGCAGUGGUGUUUACAACUAAUUGAUCACAACCAGUUACAGAUUUCUUUGUUACUUCUCCACUCCCACUGCUUCACUUGACUAGCCUUAA